UGGAUUGGUCCACUUAUUGGU
rnacentral:siRNA from 1 species